rnacentral:rRNA from 1 species
GACGAACGCUGGCGGCGUGCUUAACACAUGCAAGUCGAGCGGCAGCGCGGGGGCAACCCUGGCGGCGAGCGGCGAACGGGUGAGUAAUACAUCGGAACGUGUCCUUAAGUGGGGGAUAGCUCGGCGAAAGCCGGAUUAAUACCGCAUAAGCUCUGAGGAGGAAAGCGGGGGCUCCGUAAGGACCUCGCGCUGUUGGAGCGGCCGAUGUCGGAUUAGCUAGUUGGUGGGGUAAAGGCCCACCAAGGCGACGAUCCGUAGCUGGUCUGAGAGGGUGACCGGCCACACUGGGACUGAGACACGGCCCAGACUCCUACGGGAGGCAGCAGUGGGGAAUCUUGCGCAAUGGGCGAAAGCCUGACGCAGCGACGCCGCGUGGGGACGAAGGCCUCGGUUGUAACCC